GGGAAACCCGGGCGAGCGGCCGGGGGAAGACGGAGGAGGCAAGCGGUAUCCGGAAUUAUUGGGCGUAAAGCGGCCGUAGGUGGCUAGUCAAGUCUGCGGUCAAAGACUGGGGCUUAACCCUGGAAAGGCCGUGGAAACUGACGAGCUAGAGUGCAGUAGGGGUAGAGGGAAUUCCCGGUGUAGCGGUGAAAUGCGUAGAGCUCGGGAAGAACAUCGGUGGCGAAAGCGCUCUACUGGACUGCAACUGACACUCAGGGACGAAAGCUAGGGGAGCGAAUGGGAUUAGAUACCCUGGUAGUC
rnacentral:rRNA from 1 species